GCCCCCGUAGCUCAGUUGGUCAGAGCGGCGGACUUUUAAUCCGCGCGGCGAAGGUUCGAGUCCUUCCGGGGGCA
rnacentral:tRNA from 1 species